GAUCCUGGCUCAGGAUGAACGCUAGCUACAGGCUUAACACAUGCAAGUCGAGGGGCAGCAUGAUUGAAGCUUGCUUCAAUUGAUGGCGACCGGCGCACGGGUGAGUAACACGUAUCCAACCUGCCGAUAACUCGGGGAUAGCCUUUCGAAAGAAAGAUUAAUACCCGAUAGUAUAGUAUUUCCGCAUGGUUUCACUAUUAAAGAAUUUCGGUUAUCGAUGGGGAUGCGUUCCAUUAGAUAG
rnacentral:rRNA from 1 species